AUGGCUCUGCUGUGCCUCCACAGCCAGAGGCAGAAAUGGUUCUGGAAAACCGGCAGGAGAGUCCUCUUGGGCUCAGGUCCUGUUUCCCACUCAGGCCUCAGGUUGGCCACUGUGAGAAGAGGAUACUGGUCUAGAUGGCAGGAUCCAGCACGCUCUCCUUACGCUGUUAUGGCAUUCAGAGAUAGACUGCCUUUGGACAUGGAGGUUCUUCCCCCUUCCCUGACUUUGGGGAUGGAUUCUUGCGCAGCGCUUCCUCCGCGCCCCACUCGCCCCACCAAAAACCCUUCUCGACCUGGCGACGGGGAGCUCUCCUUACCCACCGCCCACCCCAGACGCUUCCUGCGGUGCCCCCUCGUCCUCCUCCUCCUCCUGCUUCAGAAGCAGCGGCGGCAACGAGAAGGCAUUGAGCCCUUCCAAGCCCCGGGGCCGGUUUCCAGGGCAACUCUGAACGCCCGAUCCCAUUGUGACCUCCGCUCCCUCCGCGGGGAGGCAUUGCCCAGCCAUGGCUCAGCGCAGUCCGGUCCAGUCCCCGGUCAGGGGAAGCGCCAUGGAGGCGGGGAAACCCGAGGACGCCCCGCCGGCCGUGGUCACCUUCUUCCAGCCCCACGUCGGCGGCCAAGUGCUGGUGCUUUUCAGUUUGCUCAGUGGCAGCGAAGCUGUUUUAAAGAGGUUUUUACCCAAGAGUCAUCUUUCUAAGGUGAUCAUUCGUGACAACAUCAGUGUCCAGAGAGUGCACGAUAUCAAGCUCAAGCACAUUGAAGAAAGCAAAAGGAAGAUGGGCAAUCUCUUUGACCAGAUGAUGAAGAAGUUUGUGCAUGACCAGCAGAAGAAAAUGAACCGCUGGAAGAAGGAAUAUGGCCACUACCAGAGAAUGCUGGAGAAGAUUGACCAGAGGGCCUGGCUCAAAGCCCACACCUCAACCUUUGCACUGCCGGAGCUAACAAAGACCAAGGAUGUCACAGGAUGGAAAAAUGUGAACCUGCCACAGCAAAACAGGCUUAGGUAACUUGAAUGACCAUGAGCUAGAGGAGUGGCUUCAUGGUUCCACUUGGCACAGAAAAUCAUCAUGAAAAAGACCCAUGCGUCCGUCCCCCCCCCCCCCCCCGUAGGCUUUCCUGCCGGCUUGUCUCAUUAGGAUAAUGGAAUUAAAGUUAAUACAAGACCUUCACGGCAUCCAUGUGGCACAAAUGUUUUUGUUGUAGGCCUUUAAUUGGAUUUUUUUUGCUGUUCAGAGGGCUUUACAUUCUUUUUGCAGGUCCAACCUUACCAUUAGGCAAAAUGCAGCAGCAGAUUUUGGGUGUUAUGGAAAAGUUGCAAAUUGUUAGCUAUUGACCCAUUUAUUGUUAUUGUAUUCUUACUGACAGGAAGGGGGAAAGGUGCUUGCGGGUUGGUUUGGAUUUUUUUGCCUCGGUUUGGCCUUGGACGCUUUGCAACUUGAUUUGGGGUGGGAGGGGGCACCAGACUGCUCUAUCUCAAGCGGCAUAAUGUCUUGGACUGUCCUGGUCUUUUGGUUCUCUACAGCCUGUGAUUCCCUGUUUACAGAUAGUUGAUUGACUAAGGCUGAGAGAGAAAUAGUGACUUGCCUAAGGUGAGCCUAGUACCAUUGGGGGGGGUAUUUGAAUCAGCUUGAUCAAUUGGAUGUUUCCAAAAGAAAAUGCAUUUGGAAAGUGCAUUGAAAUGGAACAUGCUGGGUCUGUGGGGUCCUUUUCUGCAGGUUGGUGUUCUGGUAUGCAGCUGGCCGGCAAAUUUUGCAUAGCACUACACAACACCCCCAUUCCCAAACACCUGCAUUGCAUUGCAGCCAAUGUUGUGCAUAGCACACGUUGAAGGAGACAGAAGUACCUGGGUUUAUUUAGUGUCUGUACCCUGCUCUUUAGUCACAAAGACUCCCAUGGCAGCUUACAUACAAUCAGAUAUAAUUGUAACUGUCUGCAGGCCUACAACGUAAAAUACAUGGCACACAAGGAAAGAAGUAUAGGGAUGGAAGAGGAAGAGAGCAAACCCAAGAGCUCUUAUUAAAGUAAAAAAGUAGUUCUUAUAAUGACCAACUGGAAACAGUUCAGUGGCCAGAGAUGCCUGAUGAAGCUGGUCUUAGGAACACAGGAAGCUGCCUUAUACAGAGUCAGGCCAUUGAUCCAUCUUGCUCAGUAAUGUCUACAAUGACUGGCACACAUCAUGAAUAAAUGUAUACAUCUGUAUCAUGUCUCUGCUUACCUGCCUUUCUAACUUAAACUAAAACCCCUUGAUGAUGUAGUCUUUUCUCAAUCUGCCGGACACACAAACAAUUUAGCACCCUCCUCUUCAUGCCGUGUAGGCAGCAAUAGCCCUCCAGUGGUGAGCCUCUAGGAAUCCCUGAACUUGAAUACUCUCAUACCACUCACAUAGUAAAGGUAAAGGUACCCCUGCCCGUACGGGACAGUCUUGCCAGACUCUAGGGUUGUGCGCUCAUCUCACUCUAUAGGCCGGGAGCCAGCGCUGUCUGCAGACACUUCCGGGUCACGUGGCCAGCGUGACAAGCUGCAUCUGGUGAGCCAGCGCAGCACACGGAACGCCGUUUACCUUCCCGCUGGUAAGCGGUCCCUAUUUAUCUACUUGGACCCGAAGGUGCUUUCGAACUGCUAGGUUGGCAGGCGCUGGGACCGAAGGACGGGAGCGCACCCCGCCGCGGGGAUUCAAACCGCCGACCAUGUGAUCGGCAAGUCCUAGGCGCUGAGGUUUUAC
ensembl:lncRNA